UGGCACGGGCUCUCCAUCAGCUGGCUCUCGAUCAGUUAACUCCCGGCGAACUGCAUCAUGGAGUGGAAGCUUUCCUGAUGCUUGUUCCUCAUCUGAAGUAAAACCACGGGGCGCUGGAUUGAGUAUGUCUCCGUUGUCAUUUGUGCCUAGCGAUGCUAAUUCAAUGCAUUCCUCUACGAAUGGUGGUAGUUUCAGCGAUGACCUUCACGAAGUAGACCUGUGACGCAAACAAGAUGUAUAUACCAAGUUUUGCUCGUCGUCCUUGUAUCCUACUCGGAAUCUCUUCACUCUGGUGGUAAGCAGUGAAGUGUGGUCAAUGAAGACGGAAAAUGCUUCCCCGUCUUCUCACACCACAAUAUACCUUUUUUCUCUCCUCUUUUUGUAAGAUCAGUUGUAUGUUGAAAUCAAUUUGCUUAUUUUAGCUGUUUACUUACCUGUAGGGAUAUAGAUUUUUACUUAUUUUAUCCCUCUGAGUACCUGUUGUUUCAGAGACUUUGUUGUUACAACACAAGUAAAGUGAUCUAGAGAAACAUUGUACAGUUGAAAAUUCACCAUUCAUUAAGGAAAAAGGAAAUCUCGUUUGAUAAAAUUGUGAACCAAGUUAAGAAAAUAACAAUAUGCAAGUAGUAUUCAAUAUUCAAGAACAACAUACAAAAUUCUCUUUUUUUCAAAUUUUUUCUUGUAUUGUAUUUCAUGUUCAAGAAAGUGCAAGAGUUUGAAACAACCUUUGUGUAUCUUGAAGGACAUGGCAAUUCAAAUAUUCCCUCUUAACGGCAGCGUAUCGAUGAAUCUCUCUCUCCCUGUGUAUCUCCCACACUAAAUUGAACAAUUUUUUCCCAAUUCAAAGGACACAAAAGCAUCAAUAGCAGCAUAUUCAACUUGUUCAUGCACCAAUUCCUCAGCGGGAAUCCCACCUCUUCCUCCUACCUCUAACCAAUUCUCGGCUCGUGGUCGUAUGGGUGUCCGGUCAAGGUACGUGAUUUUGGCGUGAUAAUUAUUUUCAGAUGAUGUGAUUUGACCAGUAGACCUAUAAAAAAUAAGUGGACCAGUAUAUGCUAUUAGUAAUUACCCCAAUCCAAUUUAACCUUUCGCGUUGCUUAAGCGAAACAACCCUUGUGUACUUGGUCUGAUUCUGAAAGAGGAUUUUAAAUUAGUGAGAGUAAAUACUAGAUAAGCUCCUAUACGUCAAAUUAACAACUUUUAAUGUUUAUUUUCUCGGUGGCUUUAUGAUCAAAUUGAACUGACUGGCUCGUUUAACAUAAAGACUUAAUCCUCAUCAUUGGAAGUGAUGCAGAAGCAGUACUUUCCUUAACUCACUAAUAAAAACAGCCAUAGAUACGACGAAAACAAAGAAGUUUUGACUCUUGAAAUUCUAACUGUCGUAACAAUGGAGUUAUUUUUUUGGUUGCUAAAUUACAAUAAUCCUAACUAAUAAAGACUAGGUACGUCGACACAUUCAACAAAGGUGGUGGUACCCCAACAAAUCUAUUCCAGUCACCUUCUGUUCCUUCCAUAAAGCCCGCUAAUGCCACUGCCAAGUUUUUUGUUCCCACCCCGAUGACCCCCGUUGAAGAGACGGGGAACGGUACUACUAAUGAGCAAGAAACUUCAAGUAAUAGCGAGAGUGAUUCAGUCCCUGCUCUUAAUGGAUCGUUCCAUUUCCCUGUACCAAUCAAUAAAAAUACUACUACUAAAUUACUCAUCUUAUUCUCUUGCUUAAAUAUAUUUAAAUCUCUUUCUGUUUCUCGUUUCUUUCCUUGUAAUAAGUUUUAUUAUUCGAUCUUUAAAUUACAAUAGAAUAUUUAUAUUAUUGGAAUAGUAGGGCUCAAUUUGGGAAAAACUAAUGUCUUGAUAUUUCUAGGAACAAAUAAGAAAGUUAACUAAUAGAGAAGAUCACAGAACAUAUUAACCUAGGUAAAAAUAUAAGGUGUUAUAAUGUAUGCAUUAAGAUGAUUCCUCAUCUGAAGUAAAACCACGGGGCGCUGGAUUAAGUAUGUUUCCGUUGUCAUUUGUGCCUAGCGAUGCUAAUUCGAUGCAUUCCUCUACGAAUGGUGGUAGUUUCAGCGAUGACCUUCACGAAGUAGACCUGUGACGCAAACAAGAUGUAUAUACCAAGUUUUGCUCGUCGUCCUUGUAUCCUACUCGGAAUCUCUUCACUCUGGUGGUAAGCAGUGAAGUGUGGUCAAUGAAGACGGAAAAUGCUUCCCCGUCUUCUCACACCACAAUAUACCUUUUUUCUCUCCUCUUUUUGUAAGAUCAGUUGUAUGUUGAAAUCAAUUUGCUUAUUUUAGCUGUUUACUUACCUGUAGGGAUAUAGAUUUUUACUUAUUUUAUCCCUCUGAGUACCUGUUGUUUCAGAGACUUUGUUGUUACAACACAAGUAAAGUGAUCUAGAGAAACAUUGUACAGUUGAAAAUUCACCAUUCAUUAAGGAAAAAGGAAAUCUCGUUUGAUAAAAUUGUGAGGUAUGCAAAUAGCAUGUUUGUAAGGUAUUUUUAUUUUUUAUCAAAAAAACUUGAAAAAAGAGUGAAGAAAGAGAUAUUUUCAAGUUAAAGUCAUUUUGCCCUUGAUAAUAAGUGUAAUUACAAGUUUGCCUUUGGUUAUCCUUAACUCUCCUUUCUAUAAAAAAAUAAAAUAAAAUUACUAGAUAGGUAUGCCCGUGGGUAACAAGUAUAUUAGAAUAAAAUAAAGAUGUAACAGUAAGGGACUAUCCCGUUUGAUUAGAUCAGUUGAUGGAAAUGAUCGCAAAUGUAUGUUUUAUAUAAUCAUGGGAAUAACAUAUCAUUGGAUGCUC
rnacentral:lncRNA from 1 species